rnacentral:rRNA from 1 species
CCCUUAGAUGUUCUGGGCCGCACGCGCGCUACACUGAUGCAUUCAACGAGUCUAAAACCUGCUCUGAUAGGGGUGGGUAAUCUUUUGAAUGUGCAUCGUGAUUGGGAUAGAUGAUUGCAAUUUUUCAUCUUCAACGAGGAAUGCCUAGUAAACGCAAGUCAUCAGCUUGCAUUGAUUACGUCCCUGCCCUUUGUACACACCGCCCGUCGCUCCUACCGAUUGAAUGAUCCGAUGAAUAUCAUGGAUUGAGGAUGCAAGUAGGUUCGCCUAUCUUCAUCUUCGAGAAGUGAAGUAAAUCUUAUCAUUGAGAGGAAGGAGAAGUCGUAACA